rnacentral:rRNA from 1 species
GACGAACCGAGCGAACGUUGUUCGGAAUCACUGGGCUUAAAGGGCGCGUAGGCGGGUGCUCAAGUCCGGGGUGAAAUCCCACAGCUCAACUGUGGAACUGCCUCGGAUACUGGGUGUCUCGAGGGUGGUAGGGGUAUGCGGAACUAUCGGUGGAGCGGUGAAAUGCGUUGAUAUCGAUAGGAACUCCGGGUGGCGAAGGCGGCAUGACUGGGCCACUUCUGACGCUGAUGACGGCGAAA